rnacentral:rRNA from 1 species
UACGAAGGGGGCUAGCGUUGCUCGGAAUGACUGGGCGUAAAGGGCGCGUAGGCGGCUCAUACAGUCAGAUGUGAAAUUCCUGGGCUUAACCUGGGGGCUGCAUUUGAUACGUGUGGGCUUGAGUGGGGAAGAGGGUCGUGGAAUUCCCAGUGUAGAGGUGGAAUGCGCAGAUAUCAGGAAGAACACCAACGGCGAAGGCAGCUCGCUGGGACGGUACUGACGCUGAGACGCGAAAGCGUGGGGAGCGAACAGG